rnacentral:lncRNA from 1 species
UUGGACAUUAUUUAAUAUUAAAAAUUUGUUUUGUUUAAACAAACUGACAAUAUGUUGACCAUGUGAGGCCCUUAUAUUAAAAUAAAAGCCGGUACAAUUUGUUUUUUAGGCACACCAAGCUGUGCCGGCUGGACAUUUUAUGUUUUAAUCUAAGCCUUCUAAUAAGUUAAUCAACGGUCCGAAAAAGGGUUGUUAGAACAGUGUCUAUGACAACCGGUUGCUAGGAGUGAUCAUUCGGUUAUAACCGAACCGAAUAAGCUAUUCGGUUAUAACCGAAAACCGAAUUAUUGCUAUUUCUACUAUCCGAACUACUACCCGAAAUUUAAAAAUAACCGAAUUACCGAAUACCGAAUUACCGAAUAAUAAUUUCGGAUAUUCGGGUAAAAACCGAAUCCUACUUAACUAUAGAUAAAAUAGUAAUUUCGGGUAUUCAUGGAGAAUUAGAUAUAGAUAAAAUCGAAAUUACAGGAAAAAGUAGGGAUCAAAUUUUAUCAACAGUUACACAUUCUCCUGCUCAUAUUCUUUUCUUCUUCCCAACUUUCAAAGUUGUCCUUUCAUUUAUUAUACUUUUCUUCACCUGCUGCAAGCCUGCAACCCAAUUCAUAUUCUUUUCAACUGCAAGUUCAAACAUAUAUUUAUAUAGACAGAGGAUAAGGAUAUAAAUAUAUUUUUGACCCUCUCAAAAAAUGUGGCGGUGGUGAUGGAAUAGCCACCGGCGGUGGCGGGAUCUGAUGGGUGUCGAAUGGCGGCGGAGGGUGGCGCCAUUGAGGAAGCCGGAGCAGAGAUUUAGUCGGAGAGAGCCGAGAUCGAGACUGGAUCUGGGACACUGGGAGCCGAGAUCGAGUACGACGGUCGACGACGACGAGUAGGGUGAAGAAUGAAGAUGCUUCGUAGUUAAUCGACCACGAAAAGAGUGAUCUGAAAAUGGGAUCUGAAUAUCUGAUCUGAAAAUUGAAAUAGAGAAAUGGACUCGAACUCGAUAGACUUGGAGAGUUAGAGUUAGAAAUGGAAUGGACUGCCUGAGUUAGAAAUGGACUGCCUGAGUUAGAUGUGUAUAUAAUUAAUAUUAUAAUAAUAAUAGUGAAAUGGUUCGGUUAUUCGGAUAUUCGAAUAAUCUGUUUUUUACAAACCGAAACCGUAACCGAAUAAUGAAAAAUAAUUCGGAUAUAAUCGAAAUUGUAAAAAAAACCGAAAAAUCGAAAUAAUUCGGUUAAAUAAUUUCGGUUCGGUAAUUCA